GGAGAGGUGUCCGAGUGGUCGAAGGUGCUUGACUCGAAAUCAAGUGAGGUUAAUAGCCUCCGUGGGUUCGAAUCCCACCCUCUCUGCCA
rnacentral:tRNA from 3 species